rnacentral:lncRNA from 1 species
AAAAAAAAAUAAAAAUAAAAUAAAAUAAAAUAAAAUAAAAUAAAAUAAAAUAAAAUAAAAUAAAAUAAAAUCAAAUCAAAUCAAAUCAAAUCAAAUAAAAUAAAAUCUAAUCAAAUCAAAUCAAAUAAAACAAAAUAAGAUAAAAUCAAAUCAAAUCAAAUAAGAAAAAUAAAAUAAAAAGAAAGUCUAAUCGAUCAAGAAUCGCACACAUAGAAUAGUUCUACCAUGAGUCCCCGGCAACGACGCUAAAAACUUGUUGACAAAUUGGCAAGUGUACCAAAUCGUUCAAGUAAUAAUAAAAUGGUACGUCCAAGUAUCGUUUUCCCAAGAGACUCACGAGACUAAACUGUUGUGCUUUUGCUUAACCAAUCAAGACUAGAAAAAUAAUAUUUUGGGAUUUUUAUAAAGUGCAGAAAAAUAAACAUGAAUGCAAUUUGAUCAAUUGAGGUUAAACACAAAAGUGGAUGAAUGAAUGGAGUUGUUGGGGGUUUACAAUUUCAUGUAAUCCGCUCUCUCUUACCUACUACCCUUAAUUUUAGUUUGAUUAAUUCAAUUGUUAUGCGACUUUCUUAUCCCACCC